UUAAAGGGUGGGGCAAUGUAAAGUCUGUUUAGGUUUUUUCGGGGAGGAACCAGCCACCAGGAAGGGGAAGGAAGCGGAGGACAGAGCCGAGUCCAGAAGAAGCAAAUGAAAAUGUAACAAGGACUGUCUGUUCCCCCAGAGGACUAGAAAGGAAAACUUUCACACCUAUUACUUUACAGAUUCCUGGCAAAGGAAAGAGCCCUUGGAGGUAAAGAAAGGGAGACAACAGUCAUUCACCAAG